UUGAUUUUUCGCGGGCCGUGCUUCAUCAUUCUUCAAGUGCGUUACUGUGUUUCAUGAAAAACCCUAGACUGAGUUUUUAGAUUUUAUGCUGAAGCUGGUGAGAAAGGGUUAAAGCUUGGAGGUUUGAGAGAUGAUCCGUUUCGCGAAAUUGAAAUCUCUGGUGCCAUCUGCAGAUUCCGGCAGCCACCAUUUGCUUCAAAGGUGCUGGGUGAGUGGUACUGCCAAAGGAAAAUCAAAAAUCAAAGCUGGGCAACAGCUGAAGCGCUCCAAAAUAACCAUCAAGAAAGGUGGAGCCGCCUCUUCCAAGGGUGGAGGAGGAGGAGGAGGAAGAAAAAUCUCUCUCGAACAGGAAAAGCUCUAUGACCAAUGUCUAAAUGCUCCUACGCCUUUGCGGUUCCUGAAGCCCAAAGACAGAGAACGCGAGGCCGAGCGGGAGAAGCUGGGGCUCAUCAGCAAAGAGCGCCAGCGCGAGAUUGAGAUGAUGAAGAUGGAUAAAUCGAAAUUGGGCGUCUCUGAUUCUCCAUCGAUCAUUGGAACUAUGGGGUUGGAUCUGAUAACGCUAGGUGUGGUCGAUGCAGAUAAGAUCCCGAAGUACGAAUUGACUGUGGAAGAUGGGCGGCGGCUUGCAAAGGAAUACAGUCGGGUGUUGAUGAGGCGGCACCGUGCAAGGCAGGCAGCUGAAUCGACGCUGUUGCGGAUGAAGAAAGAUGCUAUUGAAGCAUUGCCAGAGCAUUUGAAAGCUGCCGCAUUGGUCCCAGAUUUGACUCCGUUCCCAGCGAACCGAUUCAUGGCGACAUUGACGCCUCCAAUAGAAGGCUAUAUUGAAAAGAUCAACGAAGUAGCGAAGAGGAGUAGCGGGAAAGAGAAGCUUAGAUGAUCAGAGAGGUCAGGGAUUUCUUUUGCUUGUCUUCUAAUUUCCUAAACUUAUCCUCUCAAAUUCCAUGCUUAGUCUGAUAGAUAUUUUUAGGCUUGACUUCUCUCAUAGAAUUGAUUUAUGAAGCCUUUACUUGUUUAGGAAACAAUUCCAGCAUUUUAUAUGAGGGGAGCUUCUGCCUCCUCAACUGAGGAGUCGCUGCUCCUCACACUCAUCUUCUUGGGAAAUCUCAUGUGCAAUUUUUUCAUUAUGAGGAGGAUUUUUGUCAUUACCUGGACAAGGAACCAAUUUAUCUGCUAGAUAAAUCCAACCCUGUUUUCCCACGAUCUUGGCCUGGAAUAACUGAAGCGGAAAGGGGAUCAUUGUUCAGAACUCAAAAACCUGUUAUAUGAAGUACCUGGCCAAGGAACCAAUUUGUCUUCUAGAUAAAUCUGACCUUGUUUUCCCAUGAUCUUGGUUUGGAAUAACUGAAGCUAGAAGGGGCUCAUUGUUGAGAACUCAAAAACAUGUUUUAUGAAGUACCUGGCUAAGGAGAACCAAUUUGUCUUACAGAUGGAUCCAAUCCUAUUUUCCCAAUAUCUUUGGAAUAGCUGAAGCUGAAAGUGAUUUGUUGUUGAACUCAAGGACAUUUUUUAUGAAUUCCUCUGUAGUUUAUAUUUCUGGGAAACUCAUAUAAUGCUUUUUAAAAUUAAAAUAAUAUAGGAGUAUAAUUCAAGUUAGGUCUUUUCCUUUGCCUCCCACCAUUUGCUUCGAAGUUAAAACAAUUACCAAGGUCCCAUUAUCUCAUUAAGCUAGAGCAGGCUCUGCCUGUCCUAGAGAAUCUUCAUUUUCUUCCUCAUAAUUACUCGUCUAAUUUAUGUUGGUUUGUUUUGGUCAGUAUCAGAAGUCCACCCGAGAAGCAGGCACUCUGCAUAGGUUUCAUACCUGAAGGAAACAUACAAUUUGAACUUUUAUAGUGCCUUUGGCUAUCACUACAUGGAGAAAAUAUUCCCAGGAUGACCAAUAGUCAAACUAAGUGAAUAUGCUGACAUUUUACCUUAUUUUUCAUAAGUAUGCAAAUUUGAAUAUGAAGUGUUGCAGUUGUCUAUCAGAAUUGGUGUAUGUUUAGGGUUUAGGGUUUAGGGCUUAGAUUUAUACCAAAGAAUUGGUGUAUGUGUUCUGGUUGCUUAAUGUUUUCUAGCUUUGAUGAUUCUCCAUAGGUUAUGUUUAUACUAUUUGAUAAAAUCUCUGCCUUUCUGGUUUUCCUUAUGGCCUUAUGUUUAUCUGUUUCAGUUUUCUUCUGUCAUCUACUAUUUCACUCUGGGAAUCUUGAGAUGUGAUAAUAAUAUUUGGUUGUUCGAGGUUGAUAACCGAUGAAAUUUAUGGUUGCUUAUCGCUUUGGUAUUAAUCUUGU